rnacentral:rRNA from 1 species
CCUACGGGUGACAGCAGUGAGGAAUAUUGGUCAAUGGGCGCGAUCCUGAACCAGCCAAGCCGCGUGCGGGAAGACGGCCCUCUGGGUUGUAAACCUCUUUUGUCGGAGAACAAAACCCGGGACGUGUCCCUGGCUUCGUGUAUCCGAAGAAAAAGCGUCGGCGCACACCGUGCCAGCAGCCGGGGUAUUACGGAGGAUGCGAGCGUUAUCCGGUUUUAUUGGGUUAAAAGGGGGGGUAGGCGGUCCGUUAAGUCAGCGCUAAAAUUGCGGGGUUCAACCCCGUAGAGCCGUUGAAACUGGCAGACUUGAGUGGGCGAGAAGUACGCGGAAUGCGCGGUGUAGCGGUGAAAUGCAUAGAUAUCGUGCAGAACUCCGAUUGCGAAGGCAGCGGACCGGCGCCAGACUGACGCUGAGGCACGAAAGCGUGGGGAUCGAACAGGAUUAGAUACCCUAGUAGUC